AGAGUUUGAUCCUGGCUCAGGACGAACGCUGGCGGCGUGCUUAACACAUGCAAGUCGAACGGAAAGGCCCUUCGGGGUACUCGAGUGGCGAACGGGUGAGUAACACGUGGGUGAUCUGCCCUGCACUCUGGGAUAAGCCUGGGAAACUGGGUCUAAUACCGGAUAGGACCACACACUUCAUGGUGAGUGGUGCAAAGCUUUUGCGGUGUGGGAUGAGCCCGCGGCCUAUCAGCUUGUUGGUGGGGUAAUGGCCCACCAAGGCGACGACGGGUAGCCGGCCUGAGAGGGUGACCGGCCACACUGGGACUGAGAUACGGCCCAGACUCCUACGGGAGGCAGCAGUGGGGAAUAUUGCACAAUGGGCGCAAGCCUGAUGCAGCGACGCCGCGUGAGGGAUGACGGCCUUCGGGUUGUAAACCUCUUUCAGUAGGGACGAAGCGAAAGUGACGGUACCUACAGAAGAAGGACCGGCCAACUACGUGCCAGCAGCCGCGGUAAUACGUAGGGUCCGAGCGUUGUCCGGAAUUACUGGGCGUAAAGAGCUCGUAGGUGGUUUGUCGCGUUGUUCGUGAAAACUCACAGCUUAACUGUGGGCGUGCGGGCGAUACGGGCAGACUAGAGUACUGCAGGGGAGACUGGAAUUCCUGGUGUAGCGGUGGAAUGCGCAGAUAUCAGGAGGAACACCGGUGGCGAAGGCGGGUCUCUGGGCAGUAACUGACGCUGAGGAGCGAAAGCGUGGGUAGCGAACAGGAUUAGAUACCCUGGUAGUCCACGCCGUAAACGGUGGGUACUAGGUGUGGGUUUCCUUCCUUGGGAUCCGUGCCGUAGCUAACGCAUUAAGUACCCCGCCUGGGGAGUACGGUCGCAAGACUAAAACUCAAAGGAAUUGACGGGGGCCCGCACAAGCGGCGGAGCAUGUGGAUUAAUUCGAUGCAACGCGAAGAACCUUACCUGGGUUUGACAUGCACAGGACGUACCUAGAGAUAGGUAUUCCCUUGUGGCCUGUGUGCAGGUGGUGCAUGGCUGUCGUCAGCUCGUGUCGUGAGAUGUUGGGUUAAGUCCCGCAACGAGCGCAACCCUUGUCCUAUGUUGCCAGCGGGUAAUGCCGGGGACUCGUAGGAGACUGCCGGGGUCAACUCGGAGGAAGGUGGGGAUGACGUCAAGUCAUCAUGCCCCUUAUGUCCAGGGCUUCACACAUGCUACAAUGGCCAGUACAGAGGGCUGCGAAGCCGUAAGGUGGAGCGAAUCCCUUAAAGCUGGUCUCAGUUCGGAUUGGGGUCUGCAACUCGACCCCAUGAAGUCGGAGUCGCUAGUAAUCGCAGAUCAGCAACGCUGCGGUGAAUACGUUCCCGGGCCUUGUACACACCGCCCGUCACGUCAUGAAAGUCGGUAACACCCGAAGCCAGUGGCCUAACCUUUUGGAGGGAGCUGUCGAAGGUGGGAUCGGCGAUUGGGACGAAGUCGUAACAAGGUAGCCGUA
rnacentral:rRNA from 2 species